UACAGAGGGUGCAAGCGUUGUUCGGAAUUAUUGGGCGUAAAGCGCGUGUAGGCGGCCUGGCAAGUCGGGUGUGAAAGCCCUCAGCUCAACUGAGGAGGUGCGCCCGAAACUGCUGGGCUCGAGUGCCGGAGAGGGUGGCGGAAUUCCCCAAGUAGAGGUGAAAUUCGUAGAGAUGGGGAGGAACACCGGUGGCGAAGGCGGCCACCUGGACCAGUACUGACGCUGAGGCACGAAAGCGUGGGGAGCAAACAGG
rnacentral:rRNA from 1 species